AUGAUCUGGCAUGUACAGAAUGAAAGCUUUAUUCUCGAUUCUACGAGAAUUUUUAUGAAAGCGUUUCAUUUGCUUCUCUUCAAUGGAAGUUUCAUUUUCCCAGAAUGUAUCCUAAUUUUUGGCCUAAUUCUUCGUCUGAUGAUCGAUUCAACCUCUGAUCAAAAAGAUAGACCUUGGUUCUAUUUCAUCUCUUCAACAAGUUUAGUAAUAAGCAUAAUGGCCCUAUUGUUCCGAUGGAGAGAAGAACCUAUAAUUAGCUUUUCGGGAAAUUUCCAAACGAAAAAUUUCAACGAAAUCUUUCAAUUUCUCAUUUUAUUAUGUUCAACUUUAUGUAUUCCUCUAUCCAUAGAGUACAUUGAAUGUACAGAAAUGGCUACAAUAGAGUUUCUGUUAUUCGUAUUAACAGCUACUCUAGGGGGAAUGUUUUUAUGGGGUGCUAACGAUUUAAUAACUAUCUUUGUAGAUCCAAAAUGUUUCAGUUUAUGUUCCUACCUAUUGUCUGGAUAUACCAAGAGAGAUCUACGGUCUAAUUAG
rnacentral:rRNA from 1 species